ensembl:lncRNA
CCUGAGUACGGAUUAUCAUCGGCAUUUUACAGAUGGGAAAACUCAGGCUCAGAAAGGGUGAGCGACUUGCCCACCAUCACAAAGCUUGUCCCUGGGGUCUCCUGGGUGUUGCUCAUCUGACACCAACGCCAGGUAUCUUUUCAUCACAAUGCACUUCCUCUCACUCAUUGUGCUGUGUUGUGUUUCAUAAGACGGUGGAGAAAUAGAGCUGCUCCAGCCAGGCUGGGAUUAGAAGUCAGGACGCUUGACUCCAGCCCGGGUCCUCGGGACCUUUGCUGGUCCAUACAGAGCAGUUAUGUUACUCAGGAAAAUGUGCCGCCCCCUUGGGUUCACGGCUUGGUGACAGACAAGAGGACUUCAGCUACUACACAGUGCCUGAUGGGGAAUAAGCCGAAGAUACUGUGCAGGACUUGACUUCCUCUGCCAGACCCAGCAGGCUGGCCAGUACUUGCUCAGCCGAGCUCUCUUCUGACGGCUGCACAUCGCUGUUGCCCUGCUGGACACAUAUUUGUGGUGGUCGUAUUUUUCCUCCUUAAUUUAUAGUCCAAGUUUUGAAGAUGAAGAAUGUCUUCCAGCCUCUGCACCCCCUCCUCAUCCAUGCUGGGAAAAUGGGAGAAGACAGUGGACUCUGGACUCUCUCCCUGCCCCUCAGAAAAAAUCUGACAUUCCUCUCACAUUAUUGGGUAAGUUGUUAUCUACAGCCAGUCCGUGUUCACGUCCUAAGUAGGGUGGAGGGGAGAAGAUUGCUUUCUUUAAUCCAAAAGGCCCACGAUGGCAUUUUUCUCACCCAAAGAGCUGCCCACCGUCUUGGCUACGCUGUCCUUUCCAUCUGUUCUCUCUUUAGCUACAUCAAGAAAUUUCAGAGGCUUUGCAGUGAGGGGAGUCCCUUAGCACUGCAGCAGGCUCACAUGGUGCCCUCCCCAACAGUCCCGAUGGUGCAAGGCCCACAGCCAGUGGCAUCCCCGUUGGUCAUGGGUCUGUGGCUUCUUCUUUCUAUACCAGCACAAUGUGAACGAGUGAGCAAACACUCGAUUUCUCUGUGUGUGCAGGGGAAAGUGUAUAAAUACAUUGGGGUUGGAGGUUAUGUGAGUGUGUGCAUGUGCGUGCAGAUUGCGUGUGUGCGUGUGUGUGUGCAUGCACUCCCUUAGGCUGGGACUGGAGGUGGUGGGGGGUGCUUGCAUAUGCUAGGGCUGGAGGUCGGGUGGGGUGUGGGACAGGGAGAAGAAAUUUGUAUAUGAUUUGAGAUUUCUCAGGCUGCCUCUUGCCAAGUGGUUUCCUCUGAAGCUCAGAAUCAGCCCAUAUGGCCUGGGGGGUGGAAAAUCUCACUGUCAGCAGCCAGUCUCUGACUCAUUCUGAAAGCCUGCGGGCCUGCCGCUGACUGCCAUGGGCUCCAUGCUCCGACUGGCUCAUCCCUGCCUUCAGGUUGUGCCUCUGAGGACCCAUGCCCCUUCCCAACAGCUCGGAGGGGUCACAGAGACCCUUUGUCACAUCCAUCCCCCUGACUCCUCCCUCCUGCUGGUCCUCUUCCCCACAUCGCAACUCCCUCCGCCAUUCCCUCACUCUGUGUUCAAAGAUCUCCCAGCAAACGUGUCCUCUACCCACCCCAGGAGGUCCUGGAGUGUCUUCAAAUUCCCACAGCUCCUAGCGGCCGUAUCUGCUCUGCCAUCCCUUCCUUUAUCUCUUACUAGCACUCCCUGCUGGGACCUGUCAUCCCAGAGCCAUGGACACAUGAUCAACAUCACCUCUGCUGGGACAGGAGCCACUGAGACUGUGCCCAACAGAGAAGCUGUUAAAACAUGCAGUUCUUCUGUCACAGAAUGUGCGCCCCAGGCACCUCAUGCCAUCCGAGACCCUCCCCUUGCUCCUGAUCCCUUCCCUACCUGUGGGGAGAGUCCGGGUGGGUGGGGCAUGGGGUAAGACGAGGUGUGUUUGUUGGGAGCAUUAGCCAGCAGGAUAGCAGCUGUGCUAGAUUCAGAUCCAGCCAUCCUGAUGCAUCACAAAGGGGCUUCAAAAGGACCACAUCAAAAGGCCAAGCAUCUCUCCCAGGAUUGUGCCACCUACUGCGCUGGGAGCUGGAUCCUCCAUGCAAGGUAUCACCCUGAGCUAAUACCCCCUCAGUUCCACAGGGUGUACCUGCUGCUGCUGACAGAGUCAGGGCUGGAAUUUGGCUGGCAUACGUCGGAGCCACCGUGCUGGUUCUUUAUAGGCGGUGAGCGAGCCAGGUAGCUGCAUCUGCUGCCUGGUCGAUGCCCUUGCCUGGCCCUUGUUAAAUAUUCUCCCCUGGGGUCAAUCCCUCCCCCUCACCACCCACCCACACUCCCUACAGUCAAUCAUGCAUUGGGACCUCGCUGCCAUCAAGACACCCAAAGAGGUACCCAUCUCAGGCUGGCGAUUUCUUCCGGGUGAACUACAUUAUCUGUUUCUACCUACAGCCGCCUCUUCCUAGGAAUCCAUAGACCAUGAUCAGAGCCACAGGGAGACUUCACACAGCCUGCUAGCUUCCUAAAUCCAUUCUCCCAGCUCCUCUGUUCUUCCACUACUUAAUCCCUCCUUCCCACGUCUGUCCUUGAUCUUGGCAUGAAGCCCCCAGCUGCCAGGUUCCGGGGAUGCCCUAUGGAACAACCAGAGCAGUCCAGCAUGGACCCCUGCACAGCCCAGGGGGGGCACCACCUCAUGGGAGCCAAGCUGGGCCCAGGGAGACGAGACUUCUUCCUCUUCCUCGAGAUGCCCUCAGACAAGAAACUCACUACCACCCAAGGCCCCUUCUGAUCAUUAAUGCAGUGGAUUAUGAAUUACAGUGUCACCAAAAGAGAUGAACAAAAAUUCAACUUAAAGUUGAUUUUGAGCUGCUAUUCUUGCCAGGUAAUAGAAAACACAGUUAGUCAUUUCCGGACAAGCUGAGUCCCUGUAGGAUAUGUGCCAUCUCUCUGGGGUGAACAGUCAGAAGAGGACCCUGCCUGCCUCCUCUCUCACCAGGCGACGUCUGAGUUCCGGGGUCUCAGGGCGUUGAUGGGGAGGAGACGUCUGCUUCCUGUCCCCAUCGGUCCUCUGAUGACACACCCUGGAUGUAAGGUUCUCCUCCAGGAUUUGGUCUUUGCAUGUUGGGGUCUCAAGGAAACAGCGGCUGUGCAGGCCUCUCCAAGGUGUGAGAGGCUACCCCCCAGCUCCCCGGCGCCACCUGCCAUUCUUUUGGCUGCUACAAGAAAAGGAAUAAGGGAUGGAUGGUUUGACUUGCAGCACAUGCUGCCUAUUAUUUUUGGUUGUUCUACAUUUUAACCCCGAUGGUAUUCCAGGCAACUGAAAGGAAGUUGCUGGAGAAGAAGACUUUACCUCAAUAUAUAGAAGCUGCCCUUGACAUGUUGCAGGAAUAUGGGUUUUGGAGAAGACAGACGUGGGUUCGUAAAUAAGAGUGUGAACUUCCUGACACACAGGAAUUAAAACGUGAUCAGAAAACAUUCUUCACUAGGAUGAGGAAUUGAGAAGUCAGGGAGGAGAGCUACAUUUCAUUGAGGGCCCCUAUUUUUCUCUUUAGAAAUGUUCAUUGCUUUUUUAAUUGUGAAAGUCACACAAAUUCGUUAUGGGAAAUUUUUGAAAUGUAAAAAUGGUGUAAACAAAAACAUUAAAAGUCACCCAUAAUCUCACCAGAAACGACCGUUGUAAAUAUUUUGACAUGUUUUCUUCUGGCCUUUUGUCUCUGUGUGUGGGUGUGUGUAGAUUUACAUAAUUCUGCUAAUUCUUUUACACACACUUUGCAUCCUCUUUUUGUUGUGUUUUUUUUGUUUGUUUUCUUACAUCUACUGUUAUACCAUGAGUUUUUUCAAUUUUCCCCUAAAAUAUCUGUGAAGCCACCAAAAAACAAGAUGAAAGAGAAACUGAAAAAUAAACGUAUCUUUUCUUGAGGGCAUGUUAUGUGCCAGGCACCAUCGGAGCGCUUAAUGUGUCUUUUCUCCCCCGACAACAGCUGUGGGGAGGGACAAUUUUUCCCCCAUUUUACAGAUCAGGAAACUAAGCUUUGGGUGGAUAAAGUAAUAUGCAUGAGGGUGCAGAGAGUAAGUUGUGGAAAUAGGAAUUGAAUUGAUGCAUGUGAUUCCUAAAGUCAGGCUCUUAACCAGCAGGCCAUGCCAUUCAUUCAUUCAUUCCACAAAUGAUCAAGCAUUUGCCAUGGCCAGGCAUUUCUCUGGAAUAUCUCAAUCAUCAGAACAGGCAAAGAGAAAGGCCCUCAUGGGGUUAUGUUCGAGUGGGUUGAAAAUGGACAGUGAAUAAACUAAAUACAAACAUUUCACAGUAUGGAGAAUGGUUAUAAGUGUUAUGAGGAAUAAUGAAACCGAAGGGAGAGGAGGUAGGGCAGGAUAGCAUCACAAUCUGAAACAGGAUGCUGAAGGUAGACCUCGCUGAGAGGUGGUAUUUGAGGAAAGUCUUGCAGGAGGUGAAGGAGUGAGCCAUGUGGAUAACUUGGAGAGAAUAUCCAAGCAGAGGGAACAGCACAUGCAAAGUCCCUGAGGCCAGAGGGUGCUGGAACCGUUUGAGGAAUAGGAGGAAGUCGGAGUCAUUGGGGUAGAGUGAGCAGGAGAGACAGUGAGAGGAGAUAAGAUUGGAGAUUUUAGUCAAGUGGUCCCGUCACUCUUAUAAGCCAACAUGAAGACUUUGGCUCUCCCUUUAGAUGAGAUGGAAGGCAUUAAAAGACCGAGUAGAGUAUCGUGAUCCAACACGUAUUAGAAAAGGAUCUCUCUGGCUUUUGUGUGCAGGAAAGACUAUAAAAGGGACAGGGAUAAAAAAGAGAAGAGCCAGAAAGCUGUUGCAAAGAUCCAAGCAGGGGAUAAUGGGGGGCUGGACCAGGGUGGUCACAGGCAAGGUGGUAAGUGUCUGAUCCCAGAUCUCCUUCAAAGGAGGCAGAUUGAACCCAGGAGUAUGGGAGUCCUGAGUGUUACUCUAGACGAUAGUGAAAGCUUUUGGGUUCGAUGAGAUGACGUAGGAGUGUGUCCUAGAGAAGAGACGGCCUGAGAACUGAGCCCUAGACCAUUCUAACAAAGACAGGUUGGAAACUAAGAAAGUUUAGGUGGCAAGACAGAAAACGAAUCUCUUUUGAGAAUCAACUCAGCAAGUGGUCAAUGCGGGGCACACGUUACCUAAUCAAAUCCCCACUCCAAUCUUGUGGGAAACAGUCUUCUCCCUAUCUUCUAGAUGAGAGAAAUUAAGGCUCAGAGAGAAGAAAGGAAUUAUCCAAGGUAUCGAGUAAGAAAGUAGCAGAGCUGGGAUGGCAGCCUCUUCUUGGAUGACGUCAAGGGCACAUCUCUUGGCCUGGCUGUGUCCUACCCCUGCAUGGCAGACAAGCCAAGAUGGAAGUCUGCAUUUCUCCUUCCAUAUAGCCCCCAAUCAUGACCAUGAAAGGGAGCUGAUUGAUACACAUUCCGGCAUCCUCCCUUUGGGUGGGACAAUUCUGAGAUGUGUUCUUCACUUUCUCCCAGAGCUCCCAGUGGGAUUGGGCCCCAUUGCCCACGGUCACCACUGUGGCUUGAUAACCUUCCCCAGCCGGUUUCCUUCCAGUCCCUUCCUCGCUUGCCCAUUCUCUUAAUGGUAGUUCCCAAAUCACCUCCCAAAUAAAUCCUUUGCACUUGAAUUCCUAUCUCAGGAGCUGCUUCUGAGGAAAGCCACAUGUAGACUCCUUCGCAUGAAGAACAAAGACCCACAGCCCGGGGAGGAGGUGGUCCCAGAGGUGGUGUCAGCAAUCCGUGGUGUGGGGAUGGCUUCUUGUGCACACGGAGCCUGCGUGUGUGAGACACAUGUAUGUGGGCACGCAUCCUUCUGUGCACGUGGGUGGGUGUCCACGUCUGUGUGCCAGCUCAUAAGUUAAAAACAGGAAAGGAAAAUGUAAGCAGCUUCUUAUGUAAAUAUUGGGCAACCAGAAUGCUUUUCAUUUGCUUCUAGUCAUUUCAGAGUUUCUGAAACUUUGCCUUUCCUCCCCUUGGAUGGAGAGUGGGAGUGGAGGUGGGGGAAAAUGAGGUUAUUUUUGUCCUGGGGAUUUCAGGGUCCCUUCCUUUAUGCACGUCUCCCCUCGCUUUUCCACCCACCUGAGCCCCCGGAGAAAAGAUCAGCUGAAGACAGACAGCCUUGGCAAAGCAGGUGGCACCUCUGCCCCUCCGGGUGGCAGAGGAUUCACUGAAAGACACUAGACCACCCAAUGGCUUGCCCAUGACAUCCCACCUCAGUGCUCUCAACUCCAGAGAAAAGGGGUGGCCAGAUGCCAUGGCUGAAACGGUUCUAGAUUUGAUGACGGAAACCGUAGGUUUGCAAUCCACUUCUGUUUGUGACAAAGAGCCCUCAGCAGGCUCCAGGGAGGAAGCUCAGAGCAGAACGAUCACAGGCGAGCAAGCACUAGAGUCAAGAUCUAUUCAAGAGGUAAAGUCAAGAGGAUUUGUUAAGAGGUUAGAUGAGGAAAUGAAGAAGUGUCCCCAUUUUUCUGGCAUUAGCAAAUGAGUGGAUGGCAGUGCCUUUAGGCACAUGGAAAGAUUGUGGGAGGGACAUUUUGGAGGUCCCACCAGGAGCUCAGUUCUGGACAUGUUGUCCUUGAUAUGUCUAUGACAUAUCCAUUAGACAUAUGAGUCUAGGGUUCCUAGGAAUAGACUUUGCUGGAGGUGGACAUCUGAAAUUUGUCAGCAUCCAGUUGUUCUCUAAAAGCCCUGGAAUGUCUGAGGUCACAGGUGAAGCAGAGAAAAGACUCUUAAAAAGACC